GACGAACGCUGGCGGCGUGCUUAACACAUGCGAGUCGAACGGAAAGGCCCUGCUUUUGUGGGGUGCUCGAGUGGCGAACGGGUGAGUAACACGUGAGUAACCUGCCCUUGACUUUGGGAUAACUUCAGGAAACUGGGGCUAAUACCGGAUAGGAGCUCCUGCUGCAUGGUGGGGGUUGGAAAGUUUCGGCGGUUGGGGAUGGACUCGCGGCUUAUCAGCUUGUUGGUGAGGUAGUGGCUUACCAAGGCUUUGACGGGUAGCCGGCCUGAGAGGGUGACCGGGCCAAGUGGGACAGAGAGAGGGGGGGGAGGAAGACGUGAGGAAGUAGGGGGGAAGAGUGCACAAUGGGGGGAAGUCUGAGGCGGAGACGCAGGGUGCGGGAGGCCGGCCUUCGGGGUGUGAAAAGCGGUCGCAGGAGACGAAGAGAGAGGGACGGUAAGUAGUAAGGAAGCACCGGCUAACUACGUG
rnacentral:rRNA from 1 species